UCCGGUUUGUCACCGGCAGUCUCCCUAGAGUUCUCAGCCGAACUGCUAGCAACUAGGGAUAGGGGUUGCGCUCGUUACGGGACUUAACCCAACAUCUCACGACACGAGCUGACGACGGCCAUGCAGCACCUGUGUAGGGCCCCGAAGGACACCGUAUCUCUACGGCUUUUCCCUACAUGUCAAGCCUUGGUAAGGUUCUUCGCGUCGCAUCGAAUUAAGCAACAUGCUCCGCCGCUUGUGCGGGCCCCCGUCAAUUCCUUUGAGUUUUAGCCUUGCGGCCGUACUCCCCGGGCGGGGCACUUAAUGCGUUAGCUUCGGCACGGAGGGAGUCGACACCCCCCACACCUAGUGCCCAUCGUUUACAGCGUGGACUAC
rnacentral:misc_RNA from 1 species